AGGUCGUAACAAGGUUUCCGUAGGUGACUGCGGAAAGAUCAUUAACACGUAUCCAACGUGAAACCCCCUGUGAACCUUCAUUGUACGAGUUACAUCCACGUCAUGAACCGGCAAUCUCUGGUAAAUCAUCGCCGAACAGUUUUGAUUCAGACCUCUGGAUGGUAGUGCGAGGCAAUUGACCUGGCAUCCUCUGCUUGUGCUGAAAGUGUCACUAGCUAUGUACGGAUGGCGCAGUAACGAUCGCUGGAGGCCGACAUGGCCCUGGGCUACGGCCCCCCUGAUCACAACCUUUGCAUGAAAACGGGCCUGCGCUAAGGUGCAGCCGCCCCUAAUGCUUGAACACUGUUAACAAUGGAUAUCUUGGUUCUC
rnacentral:misc_RNA from 1 species